GACGAACGCUGGCGGCGUGCUUAACACAUGCAAGUCGAACGGAACGGCCCUGCUUUUGUGCGCAGCUCGAGUUGCCAACGGGUAAGUUACCCGUGAGUAACCUGUCCUUGCCUUUGGGGUAACUUCAUGACACUUGGUCUCAUCCCGGCUAGGAUCUCUUGCUUUUUGGUGGGCGUUGGAUGGUUUCGGCGGUUGGGGAUGGAAUCGCGGCUUAUCAGCUUGUUCGUUGGGUAGUGUCUUAGCAAGGCUUUGACGGGUAGCCGGCCUGCGAGGGUGAGCGGCCAAAUUGGGACGGAGAUACGGCACAGACUCCAAUGGGACGCAGCAGUGGAGAAGAGUGCACAAUGGGCGGAAGCCUGAUGCAACAAAGCAGCGUGCGGGAUGACAGCCUGCGGGUUGUAUACCGCUUUCGCCUGUGACGAAACGUGAGUGACGGUAAUGGGUAAAGAAGCACCGGCUAACUACGUG
rnacentral:rRNA from 1 species